UAUUCCCUGACACUCCCAGGGUGCCCCAUGCGAGGUCUGUGACCCCAGGGAGGACCCCAGGAUCCUGGCCCAAGGGGAGACAGACCUUCCCAGACCUAAGAGGCCAGGAUGGAGCCAGAGAUACAGACAGGGGGCUCGGAGACCCUAGGACACAGAACAGUGAAGAGCCCGAGGCUAUUUGGGGGCUGCACUGGAGAUGGGGUGUCUGCAAUGGGUUUUGAAGUAUGAAUAAGAGAUUCUGGGGGGAGACAGUCUCUCCAGCCGGAGGAACGCCUACACCCCCCGACUCAUUUAAUCUGCAAACGACUGUGAGACGGAAGCGCUGUCACCUCACAGACGGGCAGACUCUGCAGAAAGUGAGAGCCGGCCCCUGUCCUCGUGGGCACAGAGCAAGCUGGACCCCCGCCGGGCACAGCGCCCCGCGUGGGGAGUACGUCAGGAGCUUGUGCCCCACUGCGUCUACACGACCCCGCUCCGGGGGCAGAGAUCGGGCUUGGGAGGGGCACGAGACUGGCCCGGAGUCCUGCCGGCGCGGCGUGUCUGUGACCGGGCAUGCACUCAGUCAUUGUGGGCUCGCCAGGCUCGGCAACUGGCAGGUGCCACCUCGCACGGUCCUCAGAACCUCUGCAGUCCCAUUCCACAACAUGGCAGGGCAGCCGGCAGAGCUGGGGCGUCCCUCGCCCCUCAAGACCUUCAUGAAGGAAGGGACGGCACCGCCUCGAAUGGCAGGGCCCCGAGAGGCCGAGCCGCACCUGCUGUCCCCUUGGCCCCCCGUUCCACAUCCAGGAAUCCCGUCCUGGCGUUGGAUGGCCCAACCAACGACGUCAGCUGCAAUGAUCCUAUUCUGGAAUGCUGAGAUUUGAUUAAAGCGCUUCCCCCACGGACGCCACUGUCACACGCAAGGUGCAACUGGAACCUGCUUCAGAAGCCGCGGCGUGGAGGGGGUCCUGGGGUCAGGGGAGGGACAGAGGGCCAGGGCCCCGAGGGCUCCCCUCCCGGCUUGUGACGGGAUCAAAAGAGGUGUCCGCUGCACACUGCCCCCCCCACGCGUGCACGUGGGUUUUCCGGGGCAGGUGGAGACAGGAGACAGGACAGCUGUCUCGCCGUGACCCCGCAGCAGCUGCCUGGCCCCCCGGCGCAGGGUGAGGUGCGCGGGUGCAGAGACGCGGG
rnacentral:lncRNA from 1 species